rfam:Halobacteroides halobius DSM 5150, complete genome.
UAGAACUAAAAGACCUAAACAGUCAAAUGAGAGGGUAACGCCUUGAAGGGCUGUCGAUAAUACUCCGAAUUGCAUUAAAUUAAUUAAGUAAUUUAAUGUAAUAAGCUCGGUGAAGUCGGGUGAGAUUAACUCCUAAUUCAAUCUUCUGAUUGAAAGGAAAUGUACCUAGAGGUAGGUAAGGUUAGGAUAGCUCGGUCGCCUAUAAA